rnacentral:rRNA from 1 species
GACGAACGCUGGCGGCGUGCUUAACACAUGCAAGUCGAACGGAAAGGCCCUGCUUUUGUGGGGUGCUCGAGUGGCGAACGGGUGAGUAACACGUGAGUAACCUGCCCUUGACUUUGGGAUAACUUCAGGAAACUGGGGCUAAUACCGGAUAGGAGCUCCUGCUGCAUGGUGGGGGUUGGAAAGUUUCGGCGGUUGGGGAUGGACUCGCGGCUUAUCAGCUUGUUGGUGGGGUAGUGGCUUACCAAGGCUUUGACGGGUAGCCGGCCUGAGAGGGUGACCGGCCACCUUGGGACUAAGAGACGGCCCAGACUCCUACGGGAGGCAGCAGUGGGGAAUAUUACACAGUGGGCGGAAGCCUGAUGCAGCAACGCCGCGUGCGGGAUGACGGCCUUCGGGUUGUAAACCGCUUUCGCCGGUGACGAAGCGUGAGUGACGGUAAUGAGUAAAGAAGCACCGGCUAACUACGUG